rnacentral:SRP_RNA from 1 species
GCCUGUAGUUCCAGGUACUCUGGAGGCUGAGGUAGGAGGAUCGCUUGAGUCCAGGAGUUCUGGGCUGUAGCAUGCUGUGCCAAUCGGGUGUCCACACUAAGUUCGGAAUCAAUAUGGUGACCUCCCUGGAGCCGGGGACCACCAGGUUGCCUAAGGAGGGGUGAACCAGCCUAGGUUGGAAACAGAACAGGUCAAAACUUCUGUGCUGAUCAGUAGUGGGAUCGUGCCUGUGAAUAGCCACUGCACUCCAGCCUGGGAAAUAUAACAAGAUCCCGUACUCA